ACAUGCAAGUCGAACGGCAGCACAGUGUGUUGCAAUACACAUGGGUGGCGAGUGGUGGACGGGUGAGUAGAAAGUAGGGAUCUGCCUUGUAGAUUGGGACAACUUGGGGAAACUCGAGCUAAUACCAGAUAAGCACUAAGGUGGAAAGCAUGGGACCGAAAGGCCAUGCGCUAUAAGAUGAACCUACGUCGGAUUAGCUAGUUGGUUAGGUAAAAGCUGACCAAGGCGAAGAUCCGUAGCUGGUCUGAGAGGAUGAUCAGCCACACUGGGACUGAGACACGGCCCAGACUCCUACGGGAGGGAGCAGUGGGGAAUAUUGGCCAAUGGGGGAAACCCCGAUCCAGCGAUGCCGCGUU
rnacentral:rRNA from 1 species